GAUGAACGCUGGCGGCGUGCCUAAUACAUGCAUGUCGAGCGAAGCGGGGACGGGUGAGUAACACGUGGAUAACCUCCUAUAAGUCUGGGAUAACUUCGGGAAACCGGAGCUAAACCGGAUACUUAGAGAUGGAUCCGCGCUGCAUUAGCUAGUUGGUAAGUUAACGGCUUACCAAGGCAACGAUGCAUAGCCGAGCUGAGAGGGUGAACAUCCACACGGGAACUGCUACACGGUCCAGACUCCUACGGGAGGCAGCAGUAGGGAAUCGUCCGCAAUGGGCGAAAACCUGACGGAGCAACGCCGCGUGAGUCAUGAAGGUCUUCGGAGCAUAAAACUCUGUUAUUAGGGAAGCGGUACCUAAUCAGAAAGCCACGGCUAACUACCUGCCAGCAGCCGCGGUAAUAC
rnacentral:rRNA from 1 species